UUUCCGUAGGUGAACCUGCGGAAGGAUCAUUAUCGAAAUACUUAUUUAGCGUUCCGUGCUAUCCCAUUGUUUUAUUUACCCUGUUGCUUCCACUGGAUGAGUUUCCAUACCUUGUGUUUGAGAAACUUUGGCUUGUGUAAGAUUCAUUCACGGCCAGCCAGUGAGAAGACCAUUUACAAAACCCUGUUAGGAACCAAUUGUCUGAAUAUUUUACUCCAAUGAAAUAAAACUCUCAACAACGGAUCUCUAGGCUCUU
rnacentral:misc_RNA from 1 species